rnacentral:rRNA from 1 species
GACGAACGCUGGCGGCGUGCUUAACACAUGCAAGUCGAACGGUGAAGCGCCUUCCUUUUUGGUGGGUGUGGAUGAGUGGCGAACGGGUGAGUAACACGUGAGUAACCUGCCCCCUUCUUCUGGAUAACCGCAUGAAAGUGUGGCUAAUACGGGAUAUUCUGGGUCUGUCGCAUGAUGGGUCUGGGAAAGAUAUUGUUUCGGUGGGGGAUGGGCUCGCGGCCUAUCAGCUUGUUGGUGGGGUGAUGGCCUACCAAGGCGGUGACGGGUAGCCGGCCUGAGAGGGUGGACGGUCACACUGGGACGGAGACACGGCCCAGACUCCUACGGGAGGCAGCGGUGGGGAAUAUUGCACAAUGGGCGCAAGCCUGAUGCAGCGACGCCGCGUGAGGGAUGGAGGCCUGCGGGUUGUGAACCUCUUUCGCCAGUGAAGCAGGCCUGCCUCGUUUGUGGGUGGGUUGACGGUAGCUGGAGAAGAAGCGCCGGCUAACUACGUG